UAAUACACUGAUUUUACAAUAAUGAAUUAAUGAUGAUGGAUUUGGGACAAAAUCGAAGGAUCUUUCUCAAUACUAUAUAGUGUGACGCUCCUGGAUUGAUUUUUCUGGCCAGGGCUCUUCUUUAUAUACUAUCAGAUUGACGCGCGGAUCGAGCUUUAAUUUCGCCGCAAAGCUCGAUGCUUUGAUAUUGGUAACCUGUUGCUUUUUUCUCUUCCAGAUAACCUGCUACUUUUGACUAGCAGGAGAUGCAUACCUCUGUGUCAUUCAGUAUGUCAUGUACAUGUACGAGCUGCUGUUGCAAUUUGGGCUAGGAGGGGCUGAGCUCUCGGAAUGUUUUGGUCAGGAAAGGGAUGAAUCGCUGCUAUUCGAGUAAAGAGAUGUUAUACACAGUGGCUUGGCUCAGCUGAUUUGAGAGAGAAGAGAGAUGGAAUGAGAUUUAUUGGUAUUCACAAUUAACAGAUACGGAUGGUGCUUUGCUAUUGAUUACUGUUACUACUAUUUCUGCUACGUUUCGCUGCUGCCAGUAUGUUCAGCCGACUGUCAAUGUUGCCUAAAGGAGCACCAAGGUGUGGUCACCGGCUUCGACUGACCGUGGCGUUUACAGCUUGAAUUUUGCAACGAACCUGGCCACAGCCUUUAUGGAGGGUCAGUAAAAAAGGAUAUGAGAUGCAACGAUGGCAAUUGUGUGAUCAACUUUUAAUCUCUCGGCAGCUUUCAAGUUACAACCAUGCUACAUUGGCAUAUUUUUAACCUUUAUAUAAAUCAGUGAAUCAAUCUCACCAUUGCGGAUGCAGGUGUGGAAGAGAGGGAGAAGGUGACCCGGUAAUGGUGGCAGUGGCAUCAAGAAACAACAAAGAGUUCCAUAAAGUGAUUUUUUGCGACAUAAUUAUUUUGUAAGUUUGUAAUACAAAUCUUAUCUCUCCCGAUGCAACGCACGGGCACUUUUGCUAGUAGUAUCUUAUACUCCUAUUGUAUUAAAGGACGGAGGGUGUAGUAACUAAUAUGGCUCUACGAAAUGUAAAUUCUACACAAAGAGACUCAGAUUUUACAAAUCCUCGCGAGUGCUAAAACAAUU